GAAGUGUCUGCACUUCCUCCUUCUUAUGAAAUUAACUUGCAGGUCCAACUGGUGAGAAAGGCACCCAAAGCGGAAAUUUUAAUUUGCUCAAACAGGAGUGUUUUAACUCUGAAUAAACCCUGGCGGCGCCAGAGCCAAAGUGAGGACAGAAAACUGCUGGCAAGAAGUACAGGAGAAGCAAGGAGAGAAACGAUCUUGAGGACACUCACAGAGGUUCCCACAACACUCCUGCGCCUGGAAGUAACCAAAGCCGCGUUCCAGUCUCUGACUACUAGCCACAUGGUACCCUCCUUGGCCUAACCCCACCGUCCGUCCACCGGUCCCUCCACUUGGCCCUACUCAGGUGUCAGGUGGACCGGGCGCCGGCAGGAACCCAGGCUCCAGCGAGUGCAGAGGGAGGCUUCUGCCAGCCGCCUGGCCAUGGGACUGAGUGGAGCAAGACCACCACCGGCCCUGCGCUCCUGGCCAUCUCCCAGUAGAAAAGAGGGACAAGGACAGCAGCGGUACUGGGCUGGCGCCAACCCCGCCACCUUACCUGUGGACGCCACCCUCCCUGUGGACUCGAUCCCCAGAUCCCCAGGCCACACGAGACGCAGCCUCCUGGUCCUCCUCCUCCCCUUGCUCCAGGCCCCCGGGGCCUCCCCCCUCAGAGAGGAUGCCCAGGUCAUGCCCUUGCCCAGCCCUGUAGCCCCCUCCCAGCGGAGCGCACUGGGGAGGGGCUCCCUGUACCUGGGGCUCCGGACCACGCUGGCUGGCCCUUGCUCCUCUGCAGCCUGCCCUGCCCUUGCCGGCACAGGGACCGAAAGUGAAAGUAGAACCGGAGCUGCAGGCGGCGUGCGGGGUGCUGGGCCGAGCCGGGGCAGGCGCAGGGAGGCCCCUAGCCGAGGUCACCGUUUCUAUGCUCCUCUUAGAACACUGAACCUGGAUGAAAGGUCGCCAAAAGCCCAUCUUGAAACAUUUGAAGGCCCAAUCAGAGUGGGAUCAAGGGAAAUGUCUACACUUCUACAAGGAGCCAGUUUGGGAUCAGGAUAUGCUGUUUUCCCUUCAGUUUCUAUUUAGUGUCUUUUGAAAUAUUUCUUGAAAGUCAGGAUGGAAGGAACUGAAGGCGCCCCAACAGACAGGAGGCUGCCAGGAGUGACAUGUGAGAAGGCAGGAGGAGAGGAAGGUCUUUACAGACACCUGGGCAGAGGGAUCAGGAAUGAAAUGUCAGCAAGGAGAAAGCUGACACCAGGCUUUUCUCUCACAGCUCCACCCUCACGCAGACUUUGGACUUGGUUACACCCGGCUAAGACUCCCUCUUCAGAAUCCAAGUGCACUACAAAUAAAGCAAUAAGAGGAUUUGGCAGCAUUCCCUUCUAGUUUCAAAGUUCCAGCAGAGAUACAUUGGAUGCAGAACUCCUCGGAGUGAGGACUUUAAAUGUGAAGGAGCCCCAGUUGUAGAGGUUGUCAGAUCAAAACUUAGCAACUACCAAGCUUAGAAAUGCUGUUGGAGGGAAGAGCACAGGAAGGGCCUCUCAGUUUAUUAAUUACUUACAACUGUUAGAUACUCUGCUAAAUGCUAGCUGUAUGCACUUGUGUAUAUAUGUUUGUAUAAUUUUAUCUUUUCAGUGAACAUAAAAUGUAGGUAUCAGGCUUUAUAAAUGAGAAAAGUGAGAGGCUGGAAGCAUGCUCAAAGUCAAAGAGAAAAUAAAAAGUGAAACCUAAUUUGAGCCCUCCAUAGGUCUCUUUGACUCCAAAGUGCAUGUUUUUUGCACUGACUCACAUGGCUUCCUCAGCUAGCUGUUAUUCACUCCCUCCCCCUCUUCACCUCAACCCCAUUUCACUUGGCACUUCUAGCUUUGCUCUUUUCCAGGCAGCCCCUAGGAAUUCCCCAGCCUGCAAAACCUUCCUGGAGCCUCUGGAUUUCCUCCCAAUGGAUAUUAUGUUAUGCUGCUAUAACAGAGCAACUCUAAGACAUCACUAGUUUAAGAACACAAAGCUUUGUUUCUCACUCAUGGUGCAGAGCCAUGGCUGACAGGCAGGGUACUCUGCCCUGCACAAGAAGCUCAGCAUCAUGUAGGCGCAUUUAAUGAAGCUUUUGGCCUUCCAGAUCACCCUGGCAAGAAAGAGGAAGGCUGGAGAAUGACACAUCAGCCUGUUCCUACCUCAGCACUGCGUAUCACACAUGACUUCCACUCACAUUUCAUUGGCCAGAACUAACUACAUGGUCUUCUGCAAAUGCAACCAGGGGUUGGUAAACACUAAUAGUAUUGUCCACCACAUGCUUUAAGAGACUCAGUUGAGCUUGUGCAUGUUAGAAACUUCUAAGUGUCCUUAGUCUCAGAUGGGAGCUGGGAGGAGGAGGAGGGAGUCCACCUCAGGCUUUAGCCAUUGCACAUGUAUUUUGGGUUAUUAAUGAUGAGUUUGUUUGUUUUUUUGUUUUUUGUUUUUUGUUUUUUUGAUCAAGUGGCAUUCAGUUCUGCCUUAAUUAAUUACAUCAAUUCUGUACUCUUAGCUUUUGUUGAGCAAUGUCAGCAUUUGGCUCAUUUCCUCUCUUUUGCUGCCAAAGUUGCUGCCAUUUUGACCAUAUCACUGUUCUCCUUUUUGAUGUAUCCAGAAUCAUGAUGUAGAAAACAGAGAAAAGUGGGGCUGCUCUGAUAUAGUGGGAUAAUCCCACCCAUUCAGUCCUUGCCAUACCUCUCAAACCCACUCCUGCACCUCCUUCCACCCCUACACACACACACACACACACACACACACACACACACACACACACACCACACACACACACACACACUUUGGUCUCUGAGGCACCUCCACAGGCUCUUUUGGCCCCAGAACAUUUUAUUUUAUUUUAUUUUAUUUUACUAUCUUUUUAGGGCCACACCCAUGGCAUACGGAAGUUCCCAGGCUAGGGGUUGAAUCUGAGCUACAGCUGCCUGCCUACGCCAAGCCACAGCAACGACAGAUCCGAGCCAUGACUGUGACCUACACCACAGCUCAUGGCAAUGCCUUAACCCACUGAGCGAGGCCAGGAGUCAAAUCAGGGAUACUAGUCAGGUUCGUCAUUGCUGAGGUACGACGGGAAAUCCCGGAACUUAAUUUUUUUUAAAUUACACCUUAAAAAAGAAGAGCGAUGUCCCUCAUUUUUGUUAUUCUUGAUAAAGAGGAUGAUCAAGCCAAUUUGCAAAGCAGGCCUACUCAGCAAAAUCUAUGUCUUUUCAUUAAUAAUCACAAACAAAGAAGAAGGUAGAGAUGCCAGGUUAAAAGUAAGACUGUCGCAAAGGAGGCCAAUGAGCUCAAGACAGCUAAUAAAUUCCUCUGAAACAUUGUGGUUUGAAACAUUUAUAUAUACUUUAUUUUAUUGGAACUAGAAGCCACCUAUAAAGUCCAUUUUUCUAGAACGAGGAAACUCAGGAUUUGAGAUGCUAAGUGACUUGCCAGGGGCCUCUGUAUAUGGAGGCUGCUCUAAAUGAAGCCAAUUCAGAGGAAAGCAGAACUGACAGGGACAGACAUCCAUAAUCCCAUUAAGGCCCUCAGACCCAGCUGUCCCAAGUAAGCCGCACUCUUGGAGUUUCCAUUCGAGAGAAGCAGUGAAUUCCUUUCUUGAUUCAGGUUUGAGUCAGGCUUCAGAAAUAGUCCUGAGUCACCACUAGAGGACAGAACCCUAGAGGAGGGAGCGAUGGAUGCCAGCAUCUGUGGUUCUCACUAAGUGACCAAAACCGUUGUCCGACUACUAAGACUGCUGGGUCCUAAAGAACUUUCUCAGUGACUUGAGGAUUGAUGACUUGUUUCCCACUUUCCCCUCUCUCCUUGGACAUGUAUUCGACAAACUCCUGCCACCAAGGGUAACCUGAGCAUGUCCCAGUUCUCAUAGCCCAACAAAAGCCAGGACCCCAACCCUCUUCCAUCCUUCCUCAGGAAGACAGACACCCACCUCACUGCUCUCCAGCCUGCAUUCUGCAGUCCUAUCCCUUUUCCCUUUGCUCAUUUCAACUAGGAGGUAAAUCAUCAUAACACAUGUUUUUAAAAUUUGCAUUUACUCCAUUACUAAUGAGACUGAACACUACACUGAACAUAUGCUGAUUAGAUGUUUUCAGUUUUUAUUUCCUCUUUUGAGAAUUAUAUGUUUAUGUUUGCUGCCUAUUUGUCUACUAGAAAAUCACUACUUGGUUAUAUAAAAAUUAUCUAUGACACUCAAGAGAACUCAUGAAUUACAUUAAAAAUGUAAACUAUUACAGUCAGGAAGGCUCUGUUGUUUCAAAGCAAUGCCAUAAAUAUGUCUAAAUGAAUCAUGUCAGUUUCUUAAAAAUCCAGACCUUUGCCUUCUAUGUUGUUAUUUGAGAUGUUGGAGUUUACCAGAUAUUGCCAAGCUGAACAUUAAAGCAAAUCUUGGUUCAG
rnacentral:lncRNA from 9 species